UACGAAGGGGGCUAGCGUUGUUCGGAAUUACUGGGCGUAAAGCGCGCGCAGGCGGUUCUUCAAGUCAGAGGUGAAAGCCCAGGGCUCAACCCUGGAAUGGCCUUUGAGACUAGAGGACUUGGGUACGGGAGAGGUGAGUGGAAUUCCGAGUGUAGAGGUGAAAUUCGUAGAUAUUCGGAAGAACACCAGUGGCGAAGGCGGCUCACUGGCCCGUUACCGACGCUCAGGCGCGACAGCGUGGGGAGCAAACGGG
rnacentral:rRNA from 1 species